rnacentral:rRNA from 1 species
UACGUAGGGUCCGAGCGUUGUCCGGAAUUAUUGGGCGUAAAGCGUGCGCAGGCGGUUCGUUGUGUCGGCGGUGAAAGCCCCGGGCUCAACCUGGGAAUGGCCGUUGAAACUGGCGAACUGGAGUGUGGCAGAGGGGGGUGGAAUUCCGCGUGUAGCAGUGAAAUGCGUAGAGAUGCGGAGGAACACCGAUGGCGAAGGCAGCCCCCUGGGCUGACACUGACGCUCAGGCACGAAAGCGUGGGGAGCAAACAGG